GGUGCAGCUAGUCAUCCUAUUAGCUUUGGAAACUAAAUAAAGCAUUAUUAGCUUCAUUAUUUAGCACCAUCAGCCCCGAGCAGUCACCCUAAUUACCUAGUUAGCUAGCCAGGCAGGUAGCUAUCACAUCUAGCAGCAAUUAGCAACAAGCCUUACACGUGUUUUUAGCCAAUGAUAGAAGAAGUACUCAGGUCUUUACUUAAGUAAGACUGCCAGUUGUGAUACAUUUGUAGGUCUAUUUUUUGUAGAAUAAACAGACCUGAAGGCAGUUCCAAGAAUGUAGGGGGCAGAAUAUCACAUAUAACUGUGGCUGUAGCUAGCUAGCUAGCUAGUUAGCUUGCUAGCUCUGACCAAAACUGUGAUGAGAAGACACGAUAGGCGGUGGCAGGAGGAUAACUAAUGGAGCUAACAGAGGAUUUUAUUUUUCGAAGACUGUUUUGAUUUCUGCAAAGUGAGGCCAAGUGGUGCUGCAGGAGAAGUGUGUGCUCGCAGUAUCAGUGCAGGCUCAGAGAAAUCAGUGUCGUGGGACCGUUUACAGAGAAGACAACAAAUCUACGACGUGUGACGUGUUUAUUUGCCCUUUCCCACCACACGAAGUAAAAGGCCUCUCAGCGGGAUACUCUAUCAUAGCUCUCCGUGCAUCCAUAAGGACGAGCCACAUAUCUGGGCAGCGACUGCAGCGGGAGCAUCUGGACGCAGUGCGGCCCAGCUGGUGAGCCGGGCUGCACCGUUAACAUCCAGCUGAGGUGAGCUGAUAAAAGUGAUGAGUUCAGGUGGGGAGCUGUGACGCUGUGAACCUGCUUGUACAUUUGUCUGAGUGGUUUACUCUCCUGUCCGCUUAAUGGUGUCCCUGCUAAUAAGAGGGUGGGACGCACAUCUGCACUGGUCAACUGCAUGAAUCAUAUAACAACAAAAAAGGAUUUCAUUAAAGCUUUAAUGUCCGACUGCGUAGCUGUGCAGUAAAAACA